AGCAACGCCGCGUGUGUGAUGAAGGGUUUCGGCUCGUAAAACACUGUUGUAAGAGAAGAAUGACAUUGAGAGUAACUGUUCAAUGUGUGACGGUAUCUUACCAGAAAGGAACGGCUAAAUACGUGCCAGCAGCCGCGGUAAUACGUAUGUUCCAAGCGUUAUCCGGAUUUAUUGGGCGUAAAGCGAGCGCAGACGGUUAUUUAAGUCUGAAGUGAAAGCCCUCAGCUCAACUGAGGAAUUGCUUUGGAAACUGGAUGACUUGAGUGCAGUAGAGGAAAGUGGAACUCCAUGUGUAGCGGUGAAAUGCGUAGAUAUAUGGAAGAA
rnacentral:rRNA from 1 species